UCCAGAGCCCGUUGAAGUCAGCGGGAGACAUUCAAGUGACUUCAGGGGGCUUUGAAUG
rnacentral:pre_miRNA from 1 species